CACCAAAACCCAGCCACCGUCUAAGCUUCCUUACUCGGCCUCUCCAAGGCUCCGAGCCGCCCACCCGGUCGAGGCUCUUGAGGACGUAAAAAAUAGAGGAAAAAGCGGGGGAAAAAUACGAAAAAAAUCAACGGAAACGAAGGAAAGACGGAAAAAAAAUUAAAAGAUCCCAGCCACAAUGAUGGAGAUGUUGGAGCAAUGGAAAGCGAUUCUAAAGAUUCAGAAGUUUCGGAGGAUGGCUUCGUAUGCCGGCUUCUACUGCUUUGUCUCCCUCAUUACCUACGCCUACACUAGCAAUACGACGAGAGCUGGGAUGUCGAGGGCGGACCAAUUCUAUGCCUCUUACCCGGCUGGCACCGAAUUGCUCACUGAUACUGCAAAGCUUUACAAGGUAGCACUUGGUAAUUGUUUUGAGGAAGAGGAAUGGGGACCAAUCGAGUUCUCCAUCAUGGCAAAGCAUUUCGAGCGGCAAGGCAAAUCUCCAUAUGUGUACCAUGCGGUUUAGUUCCUAUUUUAUACCCAUUCUGACAACCAACUGGUAUUCAUACCGAGUUGGUUUGGUACAUCCGUUGGUACUAGCACUCAGUAUAUGGGGCAUACCAGGGUUUGAUGCACUUUUGGAACAUAGAGCAAUAUAUGGCACACCUUCUUUCUCAUGGACAACUUGAUGGCAGUGGCUGAUGGUGAGAUAGGCACCAGCCUGUACCAGGAUAUUCAAGUGCUCCGUCUACUAUGACUAAGAAAUAUUUUGGACCUCUAGGGCAUCUGUGAAGGAAGCAAAAUGCCAGUCAAUUAUACAGAAACAAAAUCAUAUAAUUAAGCAGCAUUGAGAGAUUAAAGGAUGGGAACUUUUUAUCGUGAAUCAAUUUUUAUAUUGCAAAGCAAUAUUUUGGAUUAUGCAUUGUCAAGUUUUGCAUACUUUUCAGACAUUUUAAUAGUAUGGGUGGAUGGAGAUGUAUGCAAGUUUUUGCUGGGCCUACUUUGAGUUUAUGCAUAUUAUCCAAAGUCUUUUGUUUACAUGUUAACAUUGUUUCUGAACAUUGUUGCUGAACUACAUUUGGAACUUUUGUCUAACUUGUAUUAUUGCCUAAACUAUUAAAAUUUUGAGCUGCUGGUAUUUUGCUUCCUGUCAAAAAUGGCCAGGAGGGUCUUGAUUUUGUUGCA